rnacentral:rRNA from 1 species
UACGAAGGGUGCAAGCGUUACUCGGAAUUACUGGGCGUAAAGGGUGCGUAGGCGGUUGUUUAAGUCUGUCGUGAAAUCCCCGGGCUCAACCUGGGAAUGGCGAUGGAAACUGGGCAGCUAGAGUGUGUCAGAGGAUGGUGGAAUUCCCGGUGUAGCGGUGAAGUGCGUAGAGAUCGGGAGGAACACCAGUGGCGAAGGCGGCACCCUGGACCAGCACUGACACUGAGGCACGAAAGCGUGGGGAGCAAACAGG